rnacentral:lncRNA from 1 species
AUAUGAUGGCAUUUGCUGAAGAGCCUCAGAAAACUAUAUAUGGUGAUUUCCAGCUUCUUAAAAAUCUCCAUAAAUCGCUCAAAAUGUUUUUCUUUUUCCUUCCUUGAAUAUAUCUUAGGAUAAGGGAGGACCUUUUCAAACUCUCUUUCUUUUAAUUUUUCAACCUCUUCUUUCUUUAUUUCUCCCUCAACUCUCAUUUUUUUUACUCAUCACACUUUCUUCUUCCUUUCUUUUCUCCCUCUGAUCACUCUUCUUUUCUUCGUUCUCUUUUUCUUUCUCUCUUUUCUCAAUUUUUCUCUCCUUUAGCACUCUACCACUCUUAGUAACAACAGUCUCACAUUUUUCCCUUGCAGCACUUCUCACAUUCCUCUCACACCCAUGAUCUUCCAAUCUAGUGUUCAUGUCCUCCAAGCUUUUAAUAUAAAGUACACUUCUAUUAAUAACCUACUGAAAAAGCUCUUCAGAAUCUGCAUUUAUCCUAAACAACAUGACUUGUGGCUGCUUUUGAAUUCUUGAAUUUUUUCUAAUUUCCUGUGGCAGUAAAGAAAGUUUCUGUAUAAUUGUCUCCAACUAUUGAGUGAUCAUCUUAUUCUACUCCAAUAUAACAUCAUAAUAUUGUGACAGUGAAGCUUCAUGCUGUUGGAUAAUAUCAGCACUUUCACAGUUCAUCUCAUCGUUACUAGCCGCCAUAUUCUCUAUAAGCUCAUAAGCUGCCUCAGUAGUCUUAUUCUUAAUA